UUUCUGAGCAUCUCCAAUUGUUUGCCCUGGAGUAAAGGUAUGAAAGUAAGACGGGAGAAGAUUGGGCCAAGAUAUCUCACAUUCCUUGCCUCCGGAUAAAUGAUGAAGUCAUCAUAUGAUAUGAGCUCUCUCUCACACCGCGUUUUUGCUAUUUGGCAUUUCACUCUCAGGUCUGAGUCAGGUCUAACGUGAAGGAAGCUCCAACAAUCUCUUGUCUGUGGAGGAAUUCAGAUUCUAUCUCAGCAAAUUUUUGUGUGGAUUCUAUCAACUGAUUAAACAUCUUUGUUGACUUGGAAGCCAACCUAAAUUGGAGCUUGAACCUUCUUUGUAAUAUUCUUUGUACUUCAAGUUGUUUGGCAUGGGCAGUUUCUGUGUUUUCCUGGACUUUGUACUGGCCAUAAUUUAACAGGAACCAUGUAAAUGCAUAUCCAUUUGUGAUUC